GAUGAACGCUGGCGGCGUGCUUAACACAUGCAAGUCGAACGGAAAGGCCCAAGCUUGCUUGGGUACUCGAGUGGCGAACGGGUGAGUAACACGUGGGUGAUCUGCCCUGCACUUCGGGAUAAGCCUGGGAAACUGGGUCUAAUACCGGAUAGGACCACAUUUUGGAUGGUGUGGUGGAAAGUUUUUCGGUGUGGGAUGAGCUCGCGGCCUAUCAGCUUGUUGGUGGGGUAAUGGCCUACCAAGGCGUCGACGGGUAGCCGGCCGGGGGGGGUGUACGGCCAAAUGGGGACUGAGCGACGACCCAGCUUUCGCCGGGGGACGGCAGGGGGGAUGUUGGCAGACGGGGCGCACGCCUGAUCCAGCGACCCCGGGGGGGGGAUGGUGCCCGGCGGGUUGCUACCCCCUUUCCCGAGGGAAAAAGCGUUAUGGCACGGUCCGGGGAAAAAACACCCCCCCAAGCUCGGGC
rnacentral:rRNA from 1 species